rnacentral:rRNA from 1 species
AGAUACCCUGGUAGUCCCAUGCUGUAAANGGUGAGUNNUAAGUGUUGGGGAGGUUUCCGCCUCUCAGUGCUGCAGCUAACGCAUCAAGCACUCCGCCUGGGGGAGUACGACCCGCAAGGUUAAAACUCAAAGGAANUGACGGGGGCCCGCACAAGCGGUGGAGCAUGUGGUUUAAUUNGAAGCAACGCGAAGAACCUUACCAGGUCUUGACAUCUAGUGCCAACUAAGAGAUUAGGCGUUCCCUUCGGGGACACUAAGACAGGUGGUGCAUGGCUGUCGUCAGCUCGUGUCGUGAGAUGUUGGGUUAAGUCCCGCAACGAGCGCAACCCUUAUUAUUAGUUGCCAGCAUUAAGUUGGGCACUCUAAUGAGACUGCCGGUGACAAACCGGAGGAAGGUGGGGAUGACGUCAAGUCAUCAUGCCCCUUAUGACCUGGGCUACACACGUGCUACAAUGGGCAGUACAACGAGGAGCGAACUUGUGAAGGCAAGCGAAUCUCUGAAAGCUGUUCUCAGUUCGGACUGUAGGCUGCAACUCGCCUACACGAAGCUGGAAUCGCUAGUAAUCGCGGAUCAGCACGCCGCGGUGAAUACGUUCCCGGGCCUUGUACACACCGCCCGUCACACCAUGAGAGUUUGUAACACCCAAAGCCGGCCGGAUAACCUAGUUUACUAGGAGUCAGCCGUCUAAGGUGGGNNNNAUGAUUAGGGUGAAGUCGUAACAAGGUAACC